AGGACGAACGCUGGCGGCGUGCCUAACACAUGCAAGUCGAACGGGGCCCGCAAGGGUUCAGUGGCGAACGGGUGCGUAACACGUGAAGAAUUUGUCCAACGGUGGGGGAUAGCCGGCCCAACGGCCGGGUAAUACCGCGUACGCCCUUCGAGCGGCAUCGCUUGAUGGGGAAAGUCGCAAGACGCCGAUGGAGAACUUCGCGGCCUAUCAGCUAGUUGGUGAGGUCAUGGCUCACCAAGGCGACGACGGGUAGCUGGUCCGAGAGGAUGACCAGCCACAUUGGGACUGAGACACGGCCCAGACUCCUACGGGAGGCAGCAGUGGGGAAUAUUGCGCAAUGGGCGAAAGCCUGACGCAGCGACGCCGCGUGUGGGAUGACGGCUUCGGGUUGUAACCACUGUCGCGAGGGACGAAGAUCUGACGGUACCUCGAAAGGAAGCACCGGCAACUCUGUGCCAGCAGCCGC
rnacentral:rRNA from 1 species